GAUGAACGCUGGCGGCGUGCCUAAUACAUGCAAGUCGAGCGAACGGACGAGAAGCUUGCUUCUCUGAUGUUAGCGGCGGACGGGUGAGUAACACGUGGAUAACCUACCUAUAAGACUGGGAUAACUUCGGGAAACCGGAGCUAAUACCGGAUGAUAUUUUGAACCGCAUGGUUCAAAAGUGAAAGACGGUCUUGCUGUCACUUAUAGAUGGAUCCGCGCUGCAUUAGCUAGUUGGUAAGGUAACGGCUUACCAAGGCCACGAUGCAUAGCCGACCUGAGAGGGUGAUCGGCCACACUGGAACUGAGACACGGUCCAGACUCCUACGGGAGGCAGCAGUAGGGAAUCUUCCGCAAAGGGCGAAAGCCUGACGGAGCAACGCCGCGUGAGUGAUGAAGGUCUUCGGAUCGUAAAACUCUGUUAUUAGGGAAGAACAUAUGUGUAAGUAACUGUGCACAUCUUGACGGUACCUAAUCAGAAAGCCACGGCUAACUACGUG
rnacentral:rRNA from 1 species